rnacentral:rRNA from 1 species
CAAUAGCGUAUAUUAAGGUUGUUGCAGUUAAAAAGCUCGUAGUUGGAUUUGUGGCGUACGGUGUGUUCCGGGCACUUGUUGUCUGAGUAACCUGCUGUUGCCAUCCUUGGGUGGAACCUGUGUGGCAUUAGGUUGUCGUGCAGGGGAUGCCCAUCAUUUACUGUGAAAAAAUUAGAGUGUUCAAAGCAGGCUUAUGCCGUUGAAUAUAUUAGCAUGGAAUAAUGAGAUAGGACUUUUUUGCUAUUUUGUUGGUUUGCGCAAGAAGGUAAUGAUUAAUAGGGACAGUUGGGGGUAUUCGUAUUCCAUUGUCAGAGGUGAAAUUCUUGGAUUUUUGGAAGACGAACUACUGCGAAAGCAUUUACCAAGGAUGUUUUCAUUAA